GAACGAACGCUGGCGGCAUGCCUAACACAUGCAAGUCGAACGAGACCUUCGGGUCUAGGUGGCGCACGGGUGCGUAACACGUGGGAAUUUGCCUCGGGGUAUGGAAUAACUCAAGGGAAACUUGAGCUAAUACCAUAUAAUGUCUUCGGACCAAAGAUUAUCGCCCUGAGAUAAGCCCGCGUAGGAUUAGCUAGUUGGUGGGGUAAAGGCUCACCAAGGCGACGAUCCUUAGCUGGUCUGAGAGGAUGAUCAGCCACACUGGGACUGAGACACGGCCCAGACUCCUACGGGAGGCAGCAGUGGGAAUAUUGGACAAUGGGCGAAAGCCUGAUCCAGCAAUGCCGCGUGAGUGAUGAAGGCCUUCGGGUUGUAAAGCUCUUUUACUCGGGACGAUAAUGACGGUACCGAGAGAAUAAGCCCCGGCUAACUCCGUG
rnacentral:rRNA from 1 species